rnacentral:rRNA from 1 species
AACGAACGCUGGCGGCAGGCUUAACACAUGCAAGUCGAACGCUCGUAGCAAUACGGGAGUGGCGGACGGGGUGAGUAACGCGUGGGAACGUGCCCUGAGGUACGGAAUAACUGAGGGAAACUUCAGCUAAUACCGUAUGAGCCCCGAGAGGGGGAAAGAUUUAUCGCCUUGGGGAGCGGCCCGCGUCGGAUUAGCUAGUUGGUGGGGUAACGGCCUACCAAGGCUUCGAUCCGUAGCUGGUCUGAGAGGACGAUCAGCCACACUGGGACUGAGACACGGCCCAGACUCCUACGGGAGGCAGCAGUGGGGAAUCUUGCGCAAUGGGGGCAGCCCUGACGCAGCCAUGCCGCGUGAACGAUGAAGGCCUUAGGGUGUAAAGUUCUUUUACCCGUGACGAUGAUGACGGUAACGGGGGAAUAAGCUCCGGCUAACUUCGUGCCAGCAG